rfam:Burkholderia sp. Bk sc_006, whole genome shotgun sequence.
GUAUUGUGGGGACCACCUCCCAGAGAGGUGUUAGGCAUUAGCCAGCCACGACGGCUUGCACGUGAGAACUAGACCCCUUCGUGCAGACACCAAGCCAGCCGUCGCAGCCAGCCAGGCCGCUUUUUUGG